GAUGGACAACCCAGCUGGCUCAUGCUCCGUUUUGAUGAGGUUCUGGGAAGCGAGCCAGGUGAUGUGAACCUGCUGAAAUGCUGCAGGAGUUCCAGGCAAGUUAGCCUUGGCAGUGAGGACAGAUACAAAGAGAGAAGAAAUAAGGAAGUUUCCUGAUGCCCACAAAGGUUAAAUAACUGACUCGAGGUUACCCAGCAAUAAACGUUGAAAAAGAGUUUAAAUUAGUUGGCUUUCAGAGUUUGUGUUUUGGACAACUAUAUUCUACUUUGGACAGCACUGUAUUUUCUCAUUGUAAAAGCAGGCAGGAUGGAGUAAAAAAUAAAAGUCAAAACAAUUUGAAAACAA
rnacentral:lncRNA from 1 species